UACAGAGGUCCCAAGCGUUGUUCGGAUUCACUGGGCGUAAAGGGUGCGUAGGCGGUCGGGUAAGUCUGGCGUGAAAUCUCCAAGCCUAACUUGGAAACUGCGUUGGAUACUAUCCGGCUCGAGGAAUGGAGGGGAGACUGGAAUACUUGGUGUAGCAGUGAAAUGCGUAGAUAUCAGGAGGAACACCAAUGGCGAAGGCAGCACUCUGGGACGUGACUGACGCUGAGACGCGAAAGCGUGGGGAGCAAACAGG
rnacentral:rRNA from 1 species